UUGGUCGGUAUUUUGUCGAUUGUGUUUCGUUUAAACUUUGGUGAUGUAGACGGAAGGUUGCUGCUCCGAUUACGGCAACGGUGGCUGCUAGAACGCAGCUGCGUGCAAGUUCCAGACAAAGAUGAACCAUGUUGCGCAUUUCCUCCUCCGAUGGCUUUAUCGAUUCAACUGCCUCGAACCAGUGAUGAUGCUUCUGGAGACAAAAAUAGGCAAGCGGAUGCGCCUUGUUAUGACCAAAGUGUUGAUUCACGAAGGAAACCGACUGACUGAGCCACAUUCCUUCCCCAGCAAUGAGUGGUGCAGAGGAGACACGAUUACUCCCUGUUCCGGAACCACCGACUGAGCCUGCUGCAUGCGAUGAUCAUUACCAAGGAGCAGAAAAAUUGUAUAUUUUUAAGAUCCGGACAUUUCCUGUAGGCAUGUGAUAGACUGUGCCAAGAGAAAACUGCCAUCAAACGCUGGCUUCCGAGUCGAUCGGAUCCGUCGCCAGAGAGUAAUGCCUGUGGCCCCAUUCGAUUUCGAUGUUAUGAGCUACAAGAAUCGGUGCCUCACUGAACUAGAAGGGUUUGGUAGGAAUAGAAAGCCAUUCUCCGAGCGACUAGUGGAUCAAACAACAGAACGUUUAAGAAAUGAGCGGUUCGGCUUAAUCGUGAAGAUUUUUAAGUUAAAAGGAACAACCGAAAUCACAACAUCGACGAACCUGGAACCGAAUUACUCAACGACAACCUUAAACUUGGUUCGGUAAUGAACUUGGUUCUCUGUGUAUUCUGCAUAGUUAUUCUUAUCCUUAUUUUGCACAGCGCUUUCCAGUCUACAAGAAACUGACAAAUAAUAUUUUGUCUCAUAAGAUGAGCGGUUUUGCCGGGAAGAAGGCAUUGAAACGAGCUUGAGCUAAAACCUGUCUGAACAAGUGAAAUGGCUAUGACUUAUUAUUUUAAGCUGGGCUGGAGGCCCAUUCACACACACACACACACACACACAGAUUGGCUCUUAAAACUGUCUAUAAAUUUCAUGUUAUUGUU